CCCGCCCCGCCCGCCCGCCUCGCGGGAAGAGCGGCUGUGCGCGCGGCGCUCUUCGCGCCUCAGGGCUCGUGUUUCGCAGCGGACCGGCUUCUGUGUUUGUCUGAGAAGAAAGAAGUUUGUCUUCUGUGUGACGAGACCUCAAAAAUACAGCAGAUGGAUGUACCAAGACUGGUAACACAAUGGAAGAAACAAAAAUAGGAAGAGACUGAGGAAACAGCAGUGCUCUUGCUGCACAGCGUGAAGCCUUAGAGCUGUAUUCAUCAAUGACUCACACCCUUGCUUAGGGGCCAAUUUUCAUGGAAGC
ensembl:lncRNA